GCGGGUGGUGUAGUGGCUUGACCGUUGGACUACGACUCUGGAGACUAGGGUUCGAUUCCCAGCUUGGCCA